UGUUGUCUCUUAGGGCGAAGACCCUUACUUAUGGCGUGGAUCUACAGAUCCGUUAUCAGCCAGGUCAAUUCACAAAAAAGUCUAAGAUAUCGUACGCGCUAAUGUCGAUCACGCGUACAAUUUUCACAAAAUUUAAGAUGGCGUUGCAGCCAUUUUGUAAAAUAAAAGUCUAAAUUAUUUGACUUUCACGUGUUUCCCUUUUAGAUGGUAGGAUAACCCAAGUCUAAUUUUCACAAAACACGUUCACUUCAGGGCCCAUUAAGGUGGCGGGCUAACCAUGACUUCAUCACAAUUUGAGCUCGCUCCAGUCCCCAAGACUGGCUCAAA